rnacentral:rRNA from 1 species
UGGGGAAUCUUAGACAAUGGGGGAGACCCUGAUCUAGCCAUGCCGCGUGAGUGACGAAGGCCCUAGGGUCGUAAAGCUCUUUCGCCAGGGAAGAUAAUGACGGUACCUGGUAAAGAAACCCCGGCUAACUCCGUGCCAGCAGCCGCGGUAAUACGGAGGGGGUUAGCGUUGUUCGGAAUUACUGGGCGUAAAGCGCACGUAGGCGGACCAGUCAGUCAGAGGUGAAAUCCCGGGGCUCAACCUCGGAACUGCCUUUGAUACUGCUGGUCUCGAGUUCGAGAGAGGUGAGUGGAAUUCCGAGUGUAGAGGUGAAAUUCGUAGAUAUUGGGAAGAACACCGAUGGCGAAGGCAGCCAUCUGGCUCGGUAUUGACGCUGAGGCGCGAAAGCGUGGGGAGCAAACAGGAUUAGAUACCCCCGUAGUCC